rnacentral:lncRNA from 1 species
AUGGAAUUUGAGCAGGAAAUGCUGCCAAUCUUAGCCCACUUAGCUCACUUGGAGGGGCAAGUGGAGAAGGAGGAGCGUACAAGGGUGUACAGAAUACAGAGAAACCAGCUGCGCUCUCUGGCCGACCCAUUUGUUGCACCCGAUAGGAUUUUCAAACAGAAUUUUCGGGUCAGCAAGGCCAUGGCCCACACCCUCAUCGAGAGGCUAGCCCACCAUUUCCCGGCCACCCGAAUGUCAUCUUUGACACCCACCCACAGGGUCCUUUCCACACUGAGGAUUUUGGCAGGCGGAAGCUAUCAGAGAGGGAGUGUGGCGGAGCACAGCUCUGUCAAUAUGUGCCAGGCGUCAGUAAGUAAAAGUAUGCACAAGGUGCUCGAUGCUAUGCUUGUGGAAUUGGGGGCAGAAACAAUUAAAUUUCCCCAGACAGCAGAAGAAAGAGCCGCCAUUCAGCUGGGAUUUUACCAGAAAUUUGGCAUGCCAGGUGUUAUAGGGGCAGUUGAUGGUACAUUAAUCUGUAUCAUUCCACCUAAAGAAAACGAGGAGCAAUUCUUCAGCAGAAAACAUUGCCACAGCAUUAAUGCCCAAAUUGUGAGUAAAAUUUUAAAAGAUUUUCUGAUUUAAAAAUCUUAAUAACUUUUAAUUAAAGUUUACAAGAUGUGCCUGUUGAACUGAUUCAGCGAUUUCCUUUAAUAUUCAAGCUGGUUUCAAGAGACUCAUUUGUUAGUUUAUUCAAGAUUAAAAAACACAUUGUCGACGUAUUUGUUUGCGAGUUCGAGCAUUUUUGACGAAACAAGUUUAUUGAUUUGUUCUCUUCUCCUUUUUUUUACUGAGUUACUUUUUGGUUCAGUUAAUAAUUAAUAAAUUUACAUUUUGUAACAAUUAAAAAAAACUCUUUGUCUGCAGAUUUGUGAUAGCAAUUCGCGCAUCCUCAAUGUGAAUCCGCGACAUGGAGGAGCAACUAAUGAUUCAUUCGUUUGGGGCCAAUCUGUGAUUUAUGAAUACUUACGAGAUCUUGUCGUCAUUGAUGGUGUUACCUAUGUUUGGCUAAUAGGUAUGUAUUGAGUUUAAAGGUAGUAAAUCUUUCAGAAUCGGCAUUCCAAGGAGGAAAAUGUGCCUUGAAUGCCUUCAUCUAGCCUCGUCCUCUGUAAAAUUGAAAUUAAAGUGAAAAUUAGAAUUAGAGAAUCAAAAUUACAAAGAUACAUUACCGAAGAGCAGAAAAACCAUGAGUACCCGGAGUAAGGAUGUAACUGAAAACUGAAAAUUGCAAGAUGUUUCUCAAAUGAACGCCAGAAUUAUUAAUUGCAAGCGAGAGAAAAUGAAGGAAACUCGACAAGAACUUCUUAUCAGUUU